rfam:Peniophora sp. CONT PENSPscaffold_5_Cont10, whole genome shotgun sequence.
GGCCGCCUGGCGAAAUGGCAUCGCGUCUGACUACGAUAGGUAAUCAGGAGAUUGCAGGUUCGACCCCUGCGGUGGUCA